rnacentral:rRNA from 1 species
UCGAGCGGUAAGGCCCUUCGGGGUACACGAGCGGCGAACGGGUGAGUAACACGUGAGCAACCUGCCCCUGACUCUGGGAUAAGCGGUGGAAACGCCGUCUAAUACCGGAUACGACCCGCCACCUCAUGGUGGAGGGUGGAAAGUUUUUCGGUCAGGGAUGGGCUCGCGGCCUAUCAGCUUGUUGGUGGGGUAACGGCCUACCAAGGCGAUUACGGGUAGCCGGCCUGAGAGGGCGACCGGCCACACUGGGACUGAGACACGGCCCAGACUCCUGCGGGAGGCAGCAGUGGGGAAUAUUGCGCAAUGGGCGAAAGCCUGACGCAGCGACGCCGCGUGGGGGAUGACGGCCUUCGGGUUGUAAACCUCUUUUACCACCAACGCAGGCUUCCAGUUCUCUGGAGGUUGACGGUAGGUGGGGAAUAAGGACCGGCUAACUACGUGCCAGCAGCCGCGGUAAUACGUAGGGUCCGAGCGUUGUCCGGAAUUAUUGGGCGUAAAGAGCUCGUAGGCGGCGUGUCGCGUCUGCUGUGAAAGACCGGGGCUUAACUCCGGUUCUGCAGUGGAUACGGGCAUGCUAGAGGUAGGUAGGGGAGACUGGAAUUCCUGGUGUAGCGGUGAAAUGC